rnacentral:rRNA from 1 species
ACAUUUCUUUGAGUUUUAUAUUUAAGGUAUUCCCUGCCCUAUGAUUAUUUAAAUGGCUGCAGUAUAUUGACUGUGCAAAGGUAGCAAAAUAAUUAGUUCUUUAAUUGGGAACUGGUAUGAAUGGGUUAAUGAGAAAUUUAUUUUAUUAUUUUUAUUAUUUGAAUUUAAUUUUUGAGUUAAAAAGCUUAAUUUAAUAAUUGGGACGAGAAGACCCUAUAGAACUUAAUUAUGAACUGUUUUUUAUUUUUUGGUUAAUUUUUUAUUUUUAACUAUUUUUUAAUUUUACUGGGGUGGUAACUAAAUUAUAACUUUAGUUUUAUUUUUCAUUUUUUUUUGAUUUUUUUGAUCCUUAAAUUUAAGAUUAAAAGAUAAAGUUACCUUAGGGAUAACAGCGUUAUUUUAGUGGGGAGUUCAUAUUUAUACUAAAGUUUGCGACCUCGAUGUUGAAUUAAGAUAAAAUUUUGGGGUAGGUUCUAUUUUUUUAAGUCUGUUCGACUUUUAAAUUCUUACAUGAUCUG